rnacentral:lncRNA from 1 species
AAACCCAUAAAAAAAAAAAAACAAUAUUCUUUAGGUCGUUGGGCCUUCAGGGUGGACAGUGGACCAAAGUCAAAAAGAUCAAACAGGAGCUGGUCAAGUACGGUCUGCCAAACAGUGUUGAGCUGAAAUUAAGAAAGUUGCAAAGGACGAAGCCAUAAUAUCAGUCUCCUUCAGGAAAAUAAAUAAAACAGUCCUGUAUCUAAUUGAUCGUGUGAAGAAUCUAGUUUUUAAUUAAUGUGGUUUUUAUUUGAAGCUUUAAAAGUGACACAAAAACACCAUAAACUUGGUUACACCAUUGA